UGACUGCGUACCUUUUGUAUAAUGGGUCAGCGACUUAUAUUCUGUAGCAAGGUUAACCGAAUAGGGGAGCCGGAGGGAAACCGAGUCUUAAUUGGGCGUUAAGUUGCAGGGUAUAGACCCGAAACCCGGUGAUCUAGCCAUGGGCAGGUUGAAGGUUGGGUAACACUAACUGGAGGACCGAACCGACUAAUGUUGAAAAAUUAGCGGAUGACCUGUGGCUGGGGGUGAAAGGCCAAUCAAACCGGGAGAUAGCUGGUUCUCCCCGAAAGCUAUUUAGGUAGCGCCUCGUGAAUUCAUCUCCGGGGGUAGAGCACUGUUUCGGCUAGGGGGCCAUCCCGGCUUACCAACCCGAUGCAAACUGCGAAUACCGGAGAAUGUUAUCACGGGAGACACACGGCGGGUGCUAACGUCCGUCGUGAAGAGGGAAACAACCCAGACCGCCAGCUAAGGUCCCAAAGUCAUGGUUAAGUGGGAAACGAUGUGGGAAGGCCCAGACAGCCAGGAUGUUGGCUUAGAAGCAGCCAUCAUUUAAAGAAAGCGUAAUAGCUCACUGGUCGAGUCGGCCUGCGCGGAAGAUGUAACGGGGCUAAACCAUGCACCGAAGCUGCGGCAGCGACACUGUGUGUUGUUGGGUAGGGGAGCGUUCUGUAAGCCUGUGAAGGUGUGUCGUGAGGCAUGCUGGAGGUAUCAGAAGUGCGAAUGCUGACAUAAGUAACGAUAAAGCGGGUGAAAAGCCCGCUCGCCGGAAGACCAAGGGUUCCUGUCCAACGUUAAUCGGGGCAGGGUGAGUCGACCCCUAAGGCGAGGCCGAAAGGCGUAGUCGAUGGGAAACGGGUUAAUAUUCCCGUACUUGGUGUUACUGCGAAGGGGGGACGGAGAAGGCUAUGUUGGCCGGGCGACGGUUGUCCCGGUUUAAGCGUGUAGGUGUGUGUUCCAGGUAAAUCCGGUUCACUUUAACACUGAGGCGUGACGACGAGGCACUACGGUGCUGAAGCAACAAAUGCCCUGCUUCCAGGAAAAGCCUCUAAGCAUCAGGUAACAUCAAAUCGUACCCCAAACCGACACAGGUGGUCAGGUAGAGAAUACCAAGGCGCUUGAGAGAACUCGGGUGAAGGAACUAGGCAAAAUGGUGCCGUAACUUCGGGAGAAGGCACGCUGACACGUAGGUGAAGUGAUUUACUCAUGGAGCUGAAGUCAGUCGAAGAUACCAGCUGGCUGCAACUGUUUAUUAAAAACACAGCACUGUGCAAACACGAAAGUGGACGUAUACGGUGUGACGCCUGCCCGGUGCCGGAAGGUUAAUUGAUGGGGUCAGCGCAAGCGAAGCUCCUGAUCGAAGCCCCGGUAAACGGCGGCCGUAACUAUAACGGUCCUAAGGUAGCGAAAUUCCUUGUCGGGUAAGUUCCGACCUGCACGAAUGGCGUAAUGAUGGCCAGGCUGUCUCCACCCGAGACUCAGUGAAAUUGAACUCGCUGUGAAGAUGCAGUGUACCCGCGGCAAGACGGAAAGACCCCGUGAACCUUUACUAUAGCUUGACACUGAACAUUGAGCCUUGAUGUGUAGGAUAGGUGGGAGGCUUUGAAGUGUGGACGCCAGUCUGCAUGGAGCCGACCUUGAAAUACCACCCUUUAAUGUUUGAUGUUCUAACGUGGACCCGUUACCCGGGUUGCGGACAGUGUCUGGUGGGUAGUUUGACUGGGGCGGUCUCCUCCUAAAGAGUAACGGAGGAGCACGAAGGUUGGCUAAUCCUGGUCGGACAUCAGGAGGUUAGUGCAAUGGCAUAAGCCAGCUUGACUGCGAGCGUGACGGCGCGAGCAGGUGCGAAAGCAGGUCAUAGUGAUCCGGUGGUUCUGAAUGGAAGGGCCAUCGCUCAACGGAUAAAAGGUACUCCGGGGAUAACAGGCUGAUACCGCCCAAGAGUUCAUAUCGACGGCGGUGUUUGGCACCUCGAUGUCGGCUCAUCACAUCCUGGGGCUGAAGUAGGUCCCAAGGGUAUGGCUGUUCGCCAUUUAAAGUGGUACGCGAGCUGGGUUUAGAACGUCGUGAGACAGUUCGGUCCCUAUCUGCCGUGGGCGCUGGAGAACUGAGGGGGGCUGCUCCUAGUACGAGAGGACCGGAGUGGACGCAUCACUGGUGUUCGGGUUGUCAUGCCAAUGGCACUGCCCGGUAGCUAAAUGCGGAAGAGAUAAGUGCUGAAAGCAUCUAAGCACGAAACUUGCCCCGAGAUGAGUUCUCCCUGAGACUUAGAGUCUCCUGAAGGAACGUUGAAGACGACGACGUUGAUAGGCCGGGUGUGUAAGCGCAGCGAUGCGUUGAGCUAACCGGUACUAAUGAACCGUGAGGCUUAACCUU
rnacentral:rRNA from 1 species